CAAUAAUAAAAGUACGUAUUGCCUGUGAUUGCAGGAAAAUUCCAGAAUGAGAAUAAGGAUACAAUUGAGACAUGCCAUGAGGUGCAUUUCAAUGUCUCAGGAUACAAACAAUAUGUUAUUCCUCAAGCCUGAACAACAAGAAAUAUUUAUCCCAUGGUCAACAAUUUACACUACCCGCCCCCCCAACCCCAUCCUAAAGCCAUAACCUGUACAACAGCCUAGCUACAGAAAAACAAUUGCUGUGCCAACAGUACAAGGACCACCAUAUGUAGCUUAUGGUAUUCCCCCAAGGACAAGAGGCUAAUAAAAAUACAUUCCCCCAACCAAUAGACCCUCCUUUGCCUCACACAGAAACUUGAUGAAAAUGGA
rnacentral:lncRNA from 1 species